rnacentral:rRNA from 1 species
UACGGAGGGUGCAAGCAUUAAUCGGAUUUACUGGGCGUAAAGGGCGCGUAGGCGGGAAGGAAAGUCAGAUGUGAAAUUCCGGUGCUCAACAUCGGAACAGCAUUUGAAACUCCCUUUCUUGAGGGUAGAAGGAGAAAGCGGAAUUCCACGUGUAGCGGUGAAAUGCGUAGAUAUGUGGAAGAACACCUGUGGCGAAAGCGGCUUUCUAGUUUAUACCUGACGCUGAGGCGCGAGAGUGAGGGGAGCAAACAGG